UUUCUAGCCCGAUAGUGAGAUUUUGACCAGAGGGUUGGAAUGGAAUUCCGGAAGUUGCAGUAGUUCCGCCAUGUCAUUUGGGAUGUGUGUGUAAAAUUUUAGGUCAUUUGGGCAUGGUUUGGUUAGGUUUUUGAUCGAAAACAUAUUUUGAGGAAAUUUGGAGUUCUUAUACUUAAACCCAUGAUUCAAUUCGAGUUUCCAAUGUUAUUUUAGGUGUUUUAGGGAUUUGUGCAAGUUUGAACAAGGUUUUAGGAUAUGUUGGUCCUUUUGGUUGAGGUCCCGGGGGCCUCGGGCGAUUUUCGGAUGGUCAAUCGGACCAAUUUUGACAUUUGGGAUUUGCAUAUUUUGUUGUUCAAGUGUUGCAGAAAAUAAGCUUUCACGAUCGAGUGGGUUGCAUUGCGAUCGCGUAGGAGGAUUUUGGUAUGGCUAGAGUUUAUCCUUCACGUUUGCGUAUGUGGUCUCGUGUUCGUGGAGGGCUUAGAUCUUGUGCUUCACCUUCGCAUGAAGAGUUCUGCGUUCGCGUAUAAGGAUUUGGGGUGCAGUGGAAUUGGCCCUUUGUAUUCUCAUAAAGUGUGUCGCAUUUGCUUAGGUCUGGGAGCUAAUGCAUUGCAUUCGCAACAUAGGUAUCGCGUUCGCAUAGAGUAUUUUUGGAGUCGUUCGCGAUCGCAAUGAAGAGAUAUUAGAACGGGGCAGAAAGUUUAUAAGUUAUUUCAUCCGUGAUUUUGAGUCAUUUUUCCUCCAUUGCUGAGCAUUUUGAGAGCUUUUUGAAGUGGGUUGAAGAAGGAUUCAAGGGGAAUCACUUGGAGGUUACAUUUUUGACUUCAUAACUCAUUUUAUGUGAUUAAAUACCUAAUUAAUUGUGAGAAAUGAGGGAAAAAUGGGUAAUUAGGGCUUGAGUUUAAGAGGCAUGUAAAUGAGGUUUUGAGGGGCUAUUUCGACUCCGAUUUUUGUGUUCUUGUUAUGCAUAGACUCAUGAGAGUAUGGGGUUUCCGAAAAUAUAAAUUUCACCCGAUUCCAAGACGUUGUCCUGAGGGGCAUUUUGGUCAUUUUAUAUAAUUUCACGUAGUAGCUUAGAAUGUAAUUAUAUAAUCAGUUAUUUGAGGUGUUAUUCACAAUAUGCAAUUGAAUUGAAUAGAUUUGGUCCAUUUGAAGUCGGAUACUCAUGGCAAAAGCAUGGGUUCUAGUUGAUUUUGAGCCGGUUCGAGGUAAGUGGCUUGUCUAACCUUGUGUGGGGGACUUUUCCCCUUAGGAUAUGAUAUUUGGUAAUUGAAUUGCCUUGUGCGCGAGGUAGCGAGCGUGUACUACUGCAAAUUGUUGGUAAUUCAGUUUUUCUUGAAGUACUUAUUAGCAUGUUUUCCCUUCCUGCUUUAUUACACUUGCAAAUUUAGCAUGUUGCUCGUUAGAAGAGCAUGUUUAGUUGACUUAAAUUGCCUAUUUGCUUAAAUUGCCUUGUUCGCAUUAUGUGAAGCAUGUUAGGCUAGGACUAUUGUUGCCUUGAUAUGAAAUUUCAUUCCUUGAAUAUCUUCUUGUUGUUGCUGCGUAUUUUUAUUGGAACUACAGAUGUAGGAUUCCGGUAGCUCCCC
rnacentral:lncRNA from 1 species